AUGAUGCACCGGAGGACGUCGUCAGAGAUCGAGCUGGCGAUGGUGGGCUACUUCAACUUCAGCGACGAGGCGUCUGAGAUCUGCAGGCAAUUCCUGACGAACAUCAAGAACGCACAGAGCAACUACAGAUCCAUGGGCUGCUUCCUCGCCACCAUCUCCGACAGCGUCGCCGCCACCGAUGGCGCCGUAGCGACGACGGCGGCGCCGCCGCCGUCGUGCGGAGCAACCCGUUCAGCGACGCGGAGCAGCUUCCGGCGGGUCCACGACAUGGUGGCGGUGGGGGAAAGGAGAGAGGAGAGAGGGAGCGGCGUUGGUGGGGAAGAGGAGGCUGGGGCGCCGGCGGCUCGGGCCGAGCGGCGCGGCAGGAGGCGGCACGGCGGCGCGGCGAGGGAGGAUGGCCGGCGAGGUGGGGAGAGAGGAGCUCGGCGGCAGGGGAAAGAAGGCUGCCGUGGGCGGUGCUCGGAGCGGCCGGCGUCAGCGCGGCCGUUCCCGGCUGGGCGGCGAUCUGAGGGCGGCCAGGCGGCGUCGGGUGGAUGGGGGAGAAGGUCGGGUGGAUGGGGAAGAAGGUGAUGAGGAGACAAUAGCUCAGAUAUAACCAUGUAAUCAACCAAAUGUGCAUAUGUUUUAUAUUAGAUUUACUCGUUAUAUAUUUGAACAAACGUUGCUAUACAAUGAGUUGCGGGGGCAGCGCCAGUCAGAGGAGGGAAGUGGGGGAGUUGCGCCGGGCAUGAGGUGGUCGGGCGCCGGUUGGGGAGGCAGCCGGCGGCGGCGGCGACGAUGGAAGGGGAGGCCGUCGCGCGGGCCGGCGUGGCCGUGGAGGCGGAGCUCGCGCGGGGAAAGAGGUGGCUGGCGGCGGAGGGGAGAGAGCGGCACAAGGAGGAAGAGUCGCUCCUGGCGUUGGUUUUGCUUGUGAUGCCAAUGGCUUCGAGGAGAAGGAUCGCGGUGGGGCACAGUGGCGGCGUGGUGGCGUGCAGCGUGGACGCCCGUCUAUGA
rnacentral:lncRNA from 1 species